AUCUAUGGCCAUACCACCCUAAAUGUGCCCGAUCUCAUCAGAAGCUAAACAGAGUUGGGCCUGGUUAGUACUUGGAUGGGAGACCACCUUGGAAUAUCAGGUGCUACAGGGA
rnacentral:rRNA from 1 species